GAUGAACGCUAGCGGCAGGCCUAAUACAUGCAAGUCGAACGAGAUUAAGGAGCUUGCUCCUUAUGAAAGUGGCGCACGGGUGCGUAACGCGUGUGCAACCUACCUUAAUCAGGGGGAUAGCCCGAAGAAAUUCGGAUUAACACCGCAUAAAAACACAGGAUAGCAUUAUCCAAUGUUCAGAUAUUUAUAGGAUUAAGAUGGGCAUGCGUGUCAUUAGCUAGUUGGCGGGGUAACGGCCCACCAAGGCGACGAUGACUAGGGGAUCUGAGAGGAUGACCCCCCACACUGGUACUGAGACACGGACCAGACUCCUACGGGAGGCAGCAGUAAGGAAUAUUGGUCAAUGGAGGCAACUCUGAACCAGCCAUGCCGCGUGCAGGAAGACUGCCCUAUGGGUUGUAAACUGCUUUUAUCCGGGAAUAAACCUAAUUACGUGUAAUUAGCUGAAUGUACCGGAAGAAUAAGGAUCGGCUAACUCCGUGCCAGCCGCCGCGGUAACAC
rnacentral:rRNA from 1 species